GAAAAGAAAGGAGAGAGAGGAAGGAGGGAGAAAGAGAAGGAAGAAGGAGAAGGGAAAAGGAAGGAAGAAAGAGAGGGGAAAAGGAGGGAAAAGGAAAAGAGGGAGAUGGCGGGAAUUGCGGGAUUUGACGGCAUGCGUGAUGGACUUGAUGGGCACGCGGCGAAAAAUACGGGGAAUGAAAAAAGAGGCUUGACGACGUCGGGGGUGGGAACGGCGGAUCUGACGGGAAAGAGGGGAUUUUUCGGGAGCUCAACGGUCGGAAAAUUUUGGAAUGCAUUUUUAACGAGUGAGUUAAAUUUGUAGUUUUUACGGGCGUUACAAACCUAUCCCACUUAAAUUGAAUCUUGUCCUCGAGAUUCGGCUGAAUUCUGAAAAGAUGGGGAAACUCCUUUAACGCAUCCUCGCGUUCCCAAGUAGCUUCUUCUUCACCAUGCCUACUCCAUUGGACUCUGCAAAUCCGCACUACUGAAUUCCUUUUCCUCUUGGUGACGGUGUCCA
rnacentral:lncRNA from 1 species